UACGUAGGGUGCAAGCGUUGUCCGGAAUUAUUGGGCGUAAAGAGCUCGUAGGCGGUCUGUCGCGUCGGCUGUGAAAUCCCGAGGCUCAACCUCGGGUCUGCAGUCGAUACGGGCAAACUAGAGUAUUGCAGGGGAGACUGGAAUUCCUGGUGUAGCGGUGAAAUGCGCAGAUAUCAGGAGGAACACCGGUGGCGAAGGCGGGGUCUCUGGGCAGUAACUGACGCUGAGGAGCGAAAGCGUGGGGGAGCGAACAGG
rnacentral:rRNA from 1 species